AUACCAAAUUAAUCUGCUAGUCCCUAAUAUUGAAAAUUUCCAUAAGUAAAUAUUAGAAAGGGCAACACUAUUAAAUUGCGGGAAACUCCUAAAGCUUUACUAACCACUCAUAUUUGGAAACAUUUAUGAGAAACUCGGGUAAUGACCGAUAUCACUGGUAAAAUCAGUAAAGAUUCUGGAAACAGAAAUGGACAAUCCGCAGCGAAACCCCUACAUCAUAAACUGACACGGGGAACGUUCAACGACUAAAAAGUAGUGGGUCGCAUUAAGCGGCUUAAGAUAUAGUCUAGCCCCACUCGAAAGAGUGCC
rnacentral:ncRNA from 1 species